GAUGAACGCUGGCGGCGUGCCUAAUACAUGCAAGUCGAGCGAACAGACGAGGAGCUUGCUCCUCUGACGUUAGCGGCGGACGGGUGAGUAACACGUGGAUAACCUACCUAUAAGACUGGGAUAACUUCGGGAAACCGGAGCUAAUACCGGAUAAUAUAUUGAACCGCAUGGUUCAAUAGUGAAAGACGGUUUUGCUGUCACUUAUAGAUGGAUCCGCGCCGCAUUAGCUAGUUGGUAAGGUAACGGCUUACCAAGGCGACGAUGCGUAGCCGACCUGAGAGGGUGAUCGGCCCAACUGGAACUGAGACGCGAUCCAGAGUCCUCCGGGAGGCAGCAGUAGAGAAUUUUCCGAAAUGGGCGAAAGCCUGACGGAGCAACGCCGCGUGAGUGAUGAAGGUCUGCGGAUCGUAAAACUCUGUUGUGAGGGAAGAACUAAUGUGUAAGUAACUAUGCACGUCUUGACGGUACCUAAUCAGAAAGCCACGGCUAACUACGUG
rnacentral:rRNA from 1 species